rnacentral:lncRNA from 1 species
CUUAGAAAGAGCUUUAGCUCAAUUAUACAACCUCUGGUACUGGGAACGUGGGCAUUUUUUUUUUCUCAAGGCUAUCCCUGAGCUGUGAAAUGGGAUGGAACUAGGGUGAGUUAAGGUAGCACAAAACUUGUUUUUACUGUGAUUUGGUAAUUUUUAUUGAAUACACACUCUCACACUGCUACAAGCCUUUGAUUUAUUUCCAGAGUUCUGAACAAUAUAUAUUUUUAUUUUUUAUUUUUUGCCAGCUUUUUCUUUGCUUUUGUGGAGGUUGUGGAGGGGCGAAAUUUCUAAGAUCCUCAUGCUGCCAUUUCUGCUGAUGCCAAUCAUUUCCGUUAAGGUUUGGAUAAGCCUCGAACCACAAGUGCACUGCAGUCUGAAUAGGCAUCAUAAUCCUCCAGGAAACUCUGAACGGCCUUGACACAGAGAAGAAAAGGAGAAAACUGAGUCCUCUGCUGUAUUAUGAGAGGGACCCUGCUCAGCCAAACUCUGAUCCAAAGGAAGCCACCGCCGUCAUAUCCACAUCUAGCCAUACUUCGUUUGAAAGCUUCCCGGGCUCUGUGAGUGCUGGCUUUUGGGACCUAUUUUUGAGGGGAAAGAAUAUGGUCAUUGCUUCCUUCUGGAUACACUGAACCCUCGAUAAAGGACUUGGAGGUGGCUUGUGUGACUUUUACUGCUGAAGUAAAUAGGCUUUGUUUUAAGCCUGGUACCUAAUCAAUCCAGAACUUAGCUGUGUUUAUAUGCCACAGGGAAGUCAAAGCCAAUGCAUCUUGGAACUGACUGAAAGUAAAUGACCACUGUGUAGCUCCCUGUAUUAAUGCAUAAGGCCCUCUAGACUGAAAUAUACCAUGCAAAACAUGGCAUACAGAAAGACAUCUUGAAUAUUUCCUGUGACUAGUCAAGACCCUAUCAAGGAGGUGAUCAGUAUCAUCUGCACUCUAACUGAAUCUUGCAUUUAUACCCUAACUGAAACUUGCAUCCUUUUGUACACUGUUUCUCCUCUAUCUUUCUAGUUGGAACAUAUCCCUUAAUACACAGAUUUAGGGUUUAUCCUCAACAGUGUCAUUAGCUGACUGUCUAAUGGAAUCAACCUCUUUCUCUAUCUUUAUAUGAAAUUAUUUAUUUAUUUGGAUUUCCUCAUUAUCAGAAACAUACCCAUGCAAUUAUUUAAAGACUUGAUUUUGUCCUAAAUUAGGUAAAAUAGGAUAAUGAAAUGUGUAUCCAUAUGUAAUAAUCAAAUAGAGAACCCAAACCUAUUUGUAUCCAUAAUUUAAACAGAAUAAGUAAGGUAACUGCAUUAGUUUCCAAAUGCUGCUAUAACAAAUUUCUAAAAACUUAAUGGCUUAAAACAGCACAAAUUUAUUAUGUUACAGUUCUGAAAGUAAGGAGUCUAAAAUGAGUUUGCAAGGCUGCAUUCUUUCUGGAGGCUCUAAGGAAUAACCUGUGUUCCUGCCUUUUCCGGCUUUUAGAGGCUACUCACAUUUCUUAGCUUAUGGAUCUUUCCUCAUAUCACUCAGAUCUCUGCUUCUAUCAUCACCUCUCUUACUCAAACACCGACCCUCCUUCCUCUCUCUUAUAAGGAUGCUUGUGAUUAUGUUGGGCUUACCUAAACAAUACAGAUAAUCUCCACAUCUCAAAAUACUUAACAUUAUCACACCUAAAAAGUCCCUUCUACUGAGGUUAUAUAUUCACAGGUUUCUGGGACUGGGAUAUGAACACCUUCAGAGCUAUAUUCUGCCUACUACAAUAAGCAAUACCCAAGCUAGUAUUUUAUUUUGUGCCCGAGGAACUGUAUUUUCACAUCUCAUUUCAGCUAUGCUUGGUCAUUCUACAUCUUUAUCAUCCAAGGUGCAGAUGAAAUAAGAGUGUUUUGCUCUGUGGAAUAGUAGAAAGUGCAUUGGCUUUGGAGUCAGAAAGCCCUAUUUUCACACUCUGGCUUUUCCAUUGAGCCAACUGUAUGGCCAUGAACAAGACAUUUAACUUCUCUGAUCCCUGACCCUUUGAAUGUAGUGUGGUCCUCAAUAAAUGGUAGUUGCUUUAACAAAAUAAUAAUUAUUGUCAAAUUUCAAACCCCAGGCUCCCAGCUUUAUACCCAUUGUCUUUAUUCCUUCAAUGAGGGAGUCCCUUCUCUCGUCAUAUUUCCAGAAAUACUGUCAAUAUUCCUAUCAUGCUUUUCCCAAGUAAGGAAUGUGAACUCAAACCACUUUGUAAGUGUUGGAUCACACACUUCGGGCCAUGCCUUUCAUCCUGGCAGGAAGGCAGUGUGCAUGCUAUCCUGCCAGGCUCACUUGCUAUCCAGCCCAGUUCCUAAUACUCAUGAACCUUCCCAUGCUCUCCAACUCUUAGACGGAGAGAGCAUUUUUAUCUUUAACUCAUAUGAAUAAUGCUGGCAAAAUAAUUGCAGGUGAACAGUUAUUCCAAUUAACAGUGUUUUAAAGUCUAUAUUCUAAGAAGAGGAUUUACUAGAUUAUAAACUUAAUAUUGCUCAGAAAUAACAUUUCAUACACUUUAACGGUUUUUCUGCAAACUAUCCCCUAAAUUAUUACCCUCCCUACAAAAUAGAAUAUUAAUACAUGUUAGACCACUUUACUAGCAUUAAAGUGUUAUUAUUGUUAUUAAUUCAUUGUAAAAAAUGUUUUCAAUGUAGUAUUGUACCCUGUGGCUAUUUGUAUUUUCUAUCUGGCAAUUAUCUCCUUGUCUUUAUUUUUCUAGUGGAGUGUUUAUAAUUUUUCUUAUAGAUUAAUAGGAGCUAUUUACAUAGUAUUAGGCAUUGACUGCAUUGAAGGCCCAAUUCUUUGCCCUCCCUGUUUCCAGGGAACUGUCUUUCUGCCAUGUAACUUUGCAGUACCCUCCUACUCAGGAAAAUAUGUUAUUCUCACUCCUUAACAUGGUGAUCAAUUAUGUGACCUAUGUUGACAAAUGGCAUGCUAGCAAAUGUGAUACAGGCAGAUACUUGAAAACGCUUCUGCAUUUCUAUUGGUUUUCAUUUCUCUGCCAUUGCCGUGAGUAUUUAUCUUUGAUAGCCUCCUGGAUGAAAGACACGUGAAUACAACUGAAUCAUUCCCUAUCAUCCCAACCAAGUCUAUCCUGUAUUAAGUGACAGCCAGCCGGCUCUUAGUCUUGGGAGAGAGCCCAGACAAGAUCAGUAGAGCUGCCUCACUACCCCUCAGUUGACCACAGGCACAUAAAUGAGUCCAGAGGAGGUCAGCUAAAUCCCACGGACCUGUGAGCUAAAUAAAAUGUUAUUGCUUUUUGCCACUAAGAUUUUGUGGGUGGUUGUUAUGCAACAUUAUUGCAGCAAAAGCAACUGAUGUAUCUAUAAGGAUAUUCGGCACAUUCACACCCAGCCCUUUCCCAGUUUGUCACUAACCUCUUAAGUAUAUUUACAUAUUUUUAAAUAUAUAGGCUUAUACAUUUUCAUAUCAACUUGUGGUGAAAUAAGAAAUAUAUUUGGUGU